rnacentral:rRNA from 1 species
UACAGAGGUCUCAAGCGUUGUUCGGAUUCAUUGGGCGUAAAGGGUGCGUAGGCGGCGUGGUAAGUCGGGUGUGAAAUUUCGGAGCUUAACUCCGAAACUGCAUUCGAUACUGCUGUGCUUGAGGACUGGAGAGGAGAGUGGAAUUUACGGUGUAGCAGUGAAAUGCGUAGAGAUCGUAAGGAAGACCAGUGGCGAAGGCGGGUCUCUGGACAGUUCCUGACACUGAGGCACGAAGGCGAGGGGAGCAAACGGG